rnacentral:lncRNA from 1 species
GUAAUGCUAUUUUCUCAGUUUUAUAGAGAUAGUAAAUGAUUCGCUGAAUACCGCACCUCUGCUAAAUCCCGAUGAUGGAGCUGGAAGCCAAGUUUCCUGACUUUAAUUCUUUCUGUUCUUUUCCAUACAGUGUGUGCUCAAUGUUUAUGGACUCAAAUCAAGCAAAAGUAUUCAGCAUCAUGUGUGAGAUGGCAUUUACUAAUGGAACAGACGUCUUAGGAAAGGCUUCCCACCGAUAUAUUUCACAUACCCGUGCCAUCCAGGUGGGCACACCAUACAGAGGCUCACAGCAGCUAAGAUGUUUCGAUUUUUGCAGGAGGAUGAAACUCAUGACAUCUAUUUGGGCUCUACAACCCGCUGAGUGCACCAUACACUAUACUAUCCAUAGAGCCUUCUGUAUUAUUUGCUUUGAGAAAGGCUGGAAGAUUUUCAGCAUGAAUUCUAGGACCAACUGGCUUAUAUCUGAUUCUUCUACAUGCCUGAAGUAAUCAAGUCAAGCACAGGGUCCCAGGUGGAGGCUGUCGUCAGAUGCUGACUCAAGAAUACUUAUACGAUUUGCUGUUGUGUGCUUCUUAAGAAAAAAGCCACCCCAUCUCACUGUCUUCAUCACAG